CCUACGGGAGGCAGCAGUGAGGAAUAUUGGUCAAUGGACGAGAGUCUGAACCAGCCAAGUAGCGUGAAGGAUGACUGCCCUAUGGGUUGUAAACUUCUUUUAUAUGGGAAUAAAACGUUCCACGUGUGGGAUUUUGUAUGUACCAUAUGAAUAAGGAUCGGCUAACUCCGUGCCAGCAGCCGCGGUAAUACGGAGGAUCCGAGCGUUAUCCGGAUUUAUUGGGUUUAAAGGGAGCGUAGGUGGAUUGUUAAGUCAGUUGUGAAAGUUUGCGGCUCAACCGUAAAAUUGCAGUUGAAACUGGCAGUCUUGAGUACAGUAGAGGUGGGCGGAAUUCGUGGUGUAGCGGUGAAAUGCUUAGAUAUCACGAAGAACUCCGAUUGCGAAGGCAGUUCACUGGACUGCAACUGACACUGAGGCUCGAAAGUGUGGGUAUCAAACAGGAUUAGAUACCCUUGUAGUA
rnacentral:rRNA from 1 species